UUGGAGGGCAAGUCUGGUGCCAGCAGCCGCGGUAAUUCCAGCUCCAAUAGCGUAUAUUAAAGUUGUUGCAGUUAAAAAGCUCGUAGUUGAAUUUCGGGGUUAGUAGGUUGGUCAUGCCUCUGGUAUGCACUGGUCUCACUGAUUCCUCCUUCCUGAUGAGCCGUAAUGCCAUUAAUUUGGUGUUGCGGGGAAUUUGGACUGUUACUUUGAAAAAAUUAGAGUGUUUAAAGCAAGCUAACGCUUGAAUACAUUAGCAUGGAAUAAUGAAAUAGGACGUUCGAUCCUAUUUUGUUGGUUUCUAGGAUUGACGUAAUGAUUAAUAGGGAUAGUUGGGGGCAUUAGUAUUCAAUUGUCAGAGGUGAAAUUCUUGGAUUUAUUGAAGACUAACUACUGCGAAAGCAUUUGCCAAGGAUGUUUUCAUUAAUCAAGAACGAAAGUUAGGGGAUCGAAGACGAUCAGAUACCGUCGUAGUCUUAACCAUACACUAUGCCGACUAGGGAUCGGAUGAUGUUAAUUUUUUAAUGACUCAUUCGGCGCCUUACGGGAAACCAAAGUGUUUGGGUUC
rnacentral:rRNA from 1 species